ensembl:lncRNA TMEM277P transmembrane protein 277, pseudogene
GUGGGAUGUCUCUCUCUCCCCCACUCUCUGUUUCCCUUUCUUUUUUUGUCCCCUCUCUCCAGGGCUCCUGAUUUCUCUUCAGCCUGACGCUCUUUUCAGUUAACGGCAAGGCGGUGCACCCAAGUCCGGUGGUGUCCUACCUGGUGACCUCCUACCUGUGCUGGGACGCCAGCGACUUGAUGCUGCACUCCGGAGCCGUGUCCUACCUAAGCCCAGUGGGCAUGUGAAGCAGAGGGCAGCCCUUGAAUGCGCGGCGGCUGAGCUACCGCGGGUGGGCCGUGCAGCAGGGCGCAGCGAGGCGGACAUCCAAACAGCGGAACUCAGACGCUGACUCCGAGCGCACCCCGGGCCUUCCCAUUUCAUACACCCUCGAGGAUGAGACCCAAGCACCUCCAAGGAAUAGCACCCGAGGUCUUCAGGACACCGACCGGUAGCCAUGGCCAGAUGCCCGGCCAACCCCUUCAGCGUGGCCACGCCCUGGAUAUUCGACCUCCCCUGAGGCCCCACCCCCUGAUAUCAGGCCACGCCCUCCGAGGGGACCGGUGGCAAACUCCAGCCCUCGCUCUAGGGCCCGCCCUUUGCGGCUUUGUCCCUGCCCACUGGGUCCUCACAGUACCUCCACCCCAGAGGCCCAGCAUCCCCUCCCGUUCUGCAGACACUUGUCCAGCGUCCCGCUGAGCUCGGCAGUGUGGCUAGUUUGUGUGGCCCUGCCCCUGGUGCCCAGCCAGGGUGGUCUGCAUGGAACUUCUUUCCCGGAGUUCCGGCCUCAGCUCCGAUGUCCACCCUUGUCCCCAGGUGGACACAGCACCGCCCAGCAUUUGGUGCAACUCCACCCUUCUGCAGAACGGGCCCCUCCCUGGGAAGGCAUGGCUUGCAAUAACAUCCCUCUGUACCUUUUCUGGCUUCCCCGCCACAAUAAAACCUCUCAGCCUCAGA